rnacentral:rRNA from 1 species
CCAAAUAAAAACAACUCCACGGAAGCUAAGCAAGGUUGGGCCUGGUUAGUACUUGGAUGGGAGACCACCUAGGAAGACCGAGUGCUUGUAGGAG